GCCAAGCAGCCCCUCUUAUGGUGGUGUGCUGUUAUCUUUACUGUAACUGGGAGGAGUCUUUCCUGAAGGUCAGAAGCUUGGGACAGCGUCUAUGUGACUGCUAGCCACGCCUCUCCUGUGGGGGCUGUGGAGGGCGGUAACUUCGACAGGAGCCUUGAAUCCAGGAGAUAUGAGAGAACUCCUUCUGUUCCACGUAGGUGAAUUAUCACCACCGGGUCCCGGGGUUCAGACCUCAGCUCGACUGGAGACCAGAUUGUCUGUGUAUAGCCCAAUGCCCCACAGCACUCCACCUGCUCUAUACAGAACAAAGAGGAUGAUUUUAAGAAUAAUUUAUUCUUCCUAUGCUAACCAGUCAGACAUAGAGACGCCCUAGGCAUAAUACAAAUUUUGUCUCUUUCCAAAUAGAAAAAGGUAAAAUACUUGGCUUCCAUUGACAUUAUCAGCCUAUACAACAGAUAUAAAUGAUCAUUCCCUGGCAAGGAUUUGAAAGGGGCACACAAGGCAAGGCAGAAAUGAUGGGCCAGCCAGACUCCAUCUUAAGGAGGGAAGACAUUUUGUUAUAAGGUCGGAAGAAGUUCACAUAGCAGGACAUUUGACCACAUUGUGAACCCCAAGAUUGUGAACUAGAAAAACCUUGUUGUGCUGUGGCUCAGCCCUAGGACACACCUUUAAUCCAAAAAGCUUUCUGUUAACAGGAUUAAAUAAAGUCAAUGAUAGGUCAAGAGGAACCCUAAGUCAAGAGGUGGAGUAAACACCCAACGCCCAGGGAUUGAACAUAAGGAUGUAGAAAGGAGGGUCUUUGAGUUAAAGGGUAUUUAAGACAGCAUGUGGUUGCUGGGAAUAGAACUCAAGACCUCCGGAAGAGCAGUCAGUGCUCUUAACCGCUGAGCCAUUUCUCCAGCCCCUGGGAUUUUGUUUUUAAAACAACAAGUUCAUUUCUUUUUGCUGCAAAAUUCGAGUCGACCGUGCUUUAACCUGUUUCAGGAAUUUGAAAUGCUCCCCACCCUGUAAAGUUUGACUCAGACCUUGAACAUACCCUGAGAAUGUAAGAUGUUCUGCCAAGUUCCUAUGUGACCAAAAUUCCACUAAAAAUACUCCCACCCUCUAAAACCCCUAGUGUGGCAGUUUGGGGAAUAUGUAAAUCCCACCUCCCACUGUGUUCCAUGAUCUUUUUCAAGCCCCCACUUUAGAGAGAAAGUCCUGUCAGACAGAAAAUAAAGCUUGCUUAAUUUGACUG
rnacentral:lncRNA from 1 species